AGCGCAGGCGGUUUCUUAAGUCUGAUGUGAAAGCCUUCGGCUCAACCGAAGAAGUGCAUCGGAAACUGGGAAACUUGAGUGCAGAAGAGGACAGUGGAACUCCGAUGUGUAGCGGUGAAAUGCGUAGAUAUAUGGAAGAACGCCAGUGGCGAAGGCGGCUGUCUGGUCUGUAACUGACGCUGAGGCUCGAAAGCAUGGGUAGUAAACA
rnacentral:rRNA from 1 species